rnacentral:rRNA from 1 species
GAAGCCCUACGGGGGGCAGCAGUAGGGAAUCUUCCACAAUGGGCGCAAGCCUGAUGGAGCAACACCGCGUGAGUGAAGAAGGGUUUCGGCUCGUAAAGCUCUGUUGGUGGAGAAGAACGGGCGGGAGAGUAACUGUUCACGCAGUGACGGGAUCCAACCAGAAAGUCACGGCUAACUACGUGCCAGCAGCCGCGGGAAUACGUAGGUGGCAAGCGUUAUCCGGAUUUAUUGGGCGGAAAGCGAGCGC